rnacentral:misc_RNA from 1 species
GGGAAAUUUGUGACCAUUCAAUGUAAUGUAGAUUUGCAUCUUUACUAUCCUUCCUCCUUGCAGGUGCCUGAUGCUUAUAAAGCUGCAUGGGAUCUUUUAAAGGUAGCUGAUGGAGUUCUAGUUCCUGGGGGAUUUGGUGAUAGAGGGGUCCAAGGAAAAAUUCUUGCCGCAAAAUAUGCCCGUGAGAACAGAGUUCCAUUCCUGGGCAUCUGCUUGGGGAUGCAAAUUGCUGUCAUUGAAUUUGCUCGAUCAGUUCUUGGCUUGCAUGAUGCAAACAGUACAGAAUUUGAUCCUCAUACUUCAAAUCCAUGUGUCAUAUUUAUGCCUGAGGGUUCAAAAACUCACAUGGGAGGAACCAUGCGUUUGGGAUCAAGGAGGACUUAUUUCAAGGUUUCUGAUUGUAAAUCUGCAAAGUUGUAUGGCAAUGUCAGUUUUGUUGAUGAGAGACAUCGUCAUAGAUAUGAGGUCAAUCCUGACAUGAUAUCACAAUUUGAAAAUGCUGGUUUAUCAUUUGUUGGCAGGGAUGAAACUGGUCGACGUAUGGAGAUUGUUGAAUUGCUUGGUCAUCCAUAUUUUGUUGGAGUUCAGUUCCAUCCUGAGUUCAAGUCUAGGCCAGGAAAACCUUCUGCUCUUUUCUUAGGACUUAUAGCAGCAGCGUGUGGGCAAUUGGAAGUUUUCCUACAGAAUUAUGGGCAUGGAAGCAAGCUGUUGCCAAAUGGAAUUAACAAUAGAAAGUCAACAGUGAAAGUCUACCAAAAUGGUGAUGGUUUCAAGUCUUGCAAUGGUUCAUUAAACGGUGUGCACAGCAACGGCAAUGGUGUGCACAGCAACGGAAAUGGCAAUGGUGUGCAUAGCAACGGCAAUGGUGUGCAUUUUUAAGGAAACACAAGUAAUUUAGCAAUGCACUUCGGAUUAUGAUAUUGGUUUCUCAAAGCACUUUUGGUUGCCUUCGGUUAUAUGUUUGUACAGCAGCUGAGAAUGGGUGGAAAUUUUUUGACUUCUCAAGUGACUUAUUUUAGGGUGAAGCUGGAGAAUGAAAGGAAAAAGUUUGUAUUCUCCACUUUAUCAGUGAAAUAUGGGCUUAAGGUACUGCAUCAGCCUCUUAGAUGCAGUAGGUGUCUUUCUGGGAAUUUUGGCUGUAUGUCUUUGAAGGAAUAUGUUGCUAGAGUUUACUCUUGUAGGAUAUCGAUUAAUGGAAAUCAAUGCUGGUUGCAGUGAAUUACCAUGGCAAGGAGAAUGUAUCUUUUUCGAUUUAGCCCAAAAACUUUUUAUGGGAAAAAAAAAAAACCAAAUUAGUAUGACAAUUAUUAUUUUUAAUAUUCAUCUAUACUUAUAUGAUAUAUAAAUGUAAAUGUGUGAAGGUAGGGAGAACAUUGACUUUACCUAAAUUAUUCUUC